GGAAGUUAGGAUCGGCUUCCCCGCCUUCCCUCCAGACUGCCUGUCUCUCCAGAAGGAAGCUUGUGUGAGGACGUGGAGCUGUAGGAGCCCUCAGCUGGGCCUCUGCUUUCUUCUCUGAGAAGCCCAGCCUGGCCCCAGGAGAAGGAGCUGGAAAACUUCAGGCCUGGCUUGGGCUGCCAUGAGGAAAGUGGAUAAGGCUGCAGCCCGGAUUGUUUCCUGGAGACGACGAUCGUGGAGAUGGUUAUGCCUGACCUUUGUACAGCACUUCACAGUUGGCACAGAGUUUCCGCAUGUGCCGUACCGUCACAACGCUGUGUUUUGGGAAGCACAGCAUAUGCUGCUUCCUACUGUGUGUCAGGCCCCAUGUGAGGUAUUGGAGUGCAGAGCUGAAUAAGACACAGUCUGGCCCUCACGGAGCCUACAGCCUGAGUGGAGGAGCCCAGGACACGAGCCCACCCCAGGAGUGGUUCUUGGCACCUCCUCCAAGAAGCCCUCACUGCUGACUCCACCACCCAGUUACUCCAUCUCCCAGAUCGCAUGGAAUCCCACGUCCAACCGCAGAAGCAUCCUUCAUCAGGCCCAUUUUCGAGCACCUGUAGUUGGCAGACCUCCAGAAUUAACACUUAUGAUAGGUCCAUGGCUCUUCACAGCUGCUGAAAAAGCCCCAUAUCCUCAGCUUGUUUCCAUCGUGGUGUGCUCCCACGAGCCCUCCCGGGCUGCUCUCCCACUGUGUCCUGCCCCACUCACCACCGACACACUGGCUUGUGCCCUGUCGUGCCUGAAGACCACCUUUCCUGGCACACCCAGGACCACCGCUGAGCCCACUGCCUGGGACACCAGGAAGGCAUCAUCUCCACCUGUAGAUGUUGGUCAAACGGCUCAGACACCUCCCCCGCCCCCUGUCUGCCCCAGAGCUGCUGGUCGGAUGUGCUCCGUGUCCUGCAUUUUAUUCGUGUUUUCCGAGCGUUAGCCCUGCUGCAUCCACGUCUCCUUCCCCACCCCCUGUCCACUGUACGCCCCACAAUGGUGAUUCUCAAGCUCCAUGUGGAGGAAAGAGCAGUGUUUUUUUGCUUAGUUUUUGUUUUUGUAAAUUUUCAAUUCAUUGCAGACUAAUGACUUUGCAAAAUAAAAUGACAUUUUUAAAAAACAAAGAUAUAUACACAACGUAAGCCUUAGUUAUUUUAUCAUUAGUUUCAAAUUGCUGUAACGAUCUGUAAACCCUUACUCUUGGCUUCUGUACUUUGUGCGUCUGUGGCAGUAGUGGUUUUCAGGUCGCCCUUGAAGAAGCAGAAGGCCCUGCAUGUGGUCAGCGCUGGACACCCCUGAUGGGAUCCAGUGGAAACUUCCCGCCUGUGCUCUCGCUGAUGUCCGAGGGGAUGCACAGAGGACAUCUCUGUGGAAGAGCCCUCAGAAGGAGGACACCCCCUCUGUGGUGACGCUGGCAGGCAUUUUUGGGUGUGGGUCCCCAUUCUGUCUAAGUUGCUUCAUGACCCUGGACAUGUUACCUGAAUGUGGCCUUGACCUGAAGCUAGACGAAGGUUCUUGAACUCUUUUGUGUCGUGGACCUCAUCGAUAGUGGGGGAGGCAUGUGGAUCCCUUCUCAGAACGUUUUAAUGUUUAAUGUUUUAAAUGCAGAAAAUGAAAACCACAGGAUUUCAAAGGAAAUCAAUUAUACUCAAGACAAUUAUUAAAAUGUGUGGCUCAGAAAUAUUUCUUCAUUAACACAUUAUAUAAGUAAUCAUAUCUGGUGAUCGGCAAAAUACCUACUAUAAUUCCAAGUAUUGAUGAGAGUAAAACUAUAUUUCAAGUUUUCUACACAACUGUACUGUGAUUUGAAAAUGCCAGUGAUUUCUAUUGUGAUCGUCACGGAUGCUGCUCAUUCUACUGUGACUUGUUGCCCAUGUUCAUGACUGAAGGAACUAUUUAGUUUCAGUUGGAGAGUAAUGAAAAUCAAGACGCAAUUUUCCCCAUCAUUUAAGUUCCAGGCAAAAUGUCCCCUAAUGUAGUCCCUGAUUCAGCAAGUAUUUAUGAAGAAUCCACUAUGCGCCAGGCGUCGUCCCAGCAUAGACAGUGUCUGCCCUCAUUGAGUUUUCAUUCUUGCUGUGAGUCAGAUGACAAACAAACAAAUAAAUACG
ensembl:lncRNA